AUUGAACGCUGGCGGCAUGCUUUACACAUGCAAGUCGAACGGUAACAGGGAGCUUGCUCCGCUGACGAGUGGCGAACGGGUGAGUAAUGCAUCGGAACGUACCCAGUCGUGGGGGAUAACGUAGCGAAAGUUACGCUAAUACCGCAUACGUCCUGAGGGAGAAAGCGGGGGACCGUAAGGCCUCGCGCGAUUGGAGCGGCCGAUGUCGGAUUAGCUAGUUGGUGAGGUAAAGGCUCACCAAGGCGACGAUCUGUAGCGGGUCUGAGAGGAUGAUCCGCCACACUGGAACUGAGACACGGUCCAGACUCCUACGGGAGGCAGCAGUGGGGAAUUUUGGACAAUGGGGGCAACCCUGACCCAGCCAUGCCGCGUGAGUGAAGAAGGCC
rnacentral:rRNA from 1 species